rnacentral:tRNA from 1 species
CAUUAGAUAUCUUAAGCAAGUAUUGGUCUCUUAAACCAUUUUAUGGUAAAUUAGCAAUUACCUCUAAUGA